rnacentral:rRNA from 1 species
UGGCUCAGAACGAACGCUGGCGGCGCGUCUUAAACAUGCAAGUCGAACGAUCUGUAGCAAUACAGGGAGUGGCGGACGGGUGAGGAACACGUAGGAAUCUACCUUGAAGAGCGGGACAACUUUGGGAAACCGGGGCUAAUACCGCAUAGUACAGAGAUGUUAAAGGGCUAGCAAUAGUCGCUUCGAGAUGAGCCUGCGGUCUAUCAGCUUGUUGGUGAGGUAAUGGCUCACCAAGGCUACGACGGAUAGCCGGUCUGAGAGGAUGAUCGGCCACACUGGCACUGAGACACGGGCCAGACUCCUACGGGAGGCAGCAGUUAAGAAUCUUGCGCAAUGGGGGAAACCCUGACGCAGCGACGCCGCGUGAAGGAUGAAGGCUUUCGGGUUGUAAACUUCGGUAGACUGGGAAGAAGAAAUACGUUCGUUGAGGGCGUAUAGUGACGGUACCAGUCUGAAGCCCCGGCUAAUUACGUG